GGGGCAGCACGAAUAGCAAUAUUUGGUGGCGACCGGCAAACGGGUGCGGAACACGUACGCAACCUUCCCAUAACUGGUGAAUAGCCUUCCGAAAGGGAGAUUAAUACACCGUAACAUAAAGAGUAGGCAUCUAUUUUUUAUUAUAGCUUCGGCGGUUUUGGAUGGGCGUGCGCCUGAUUAGGUAGUUGGCGGGGUAACGGCCCACCAAGCCUUCGAUCAGUAACUGGUGUGAGAGCACGACCAGUCACACGGGCACUGAGACACGGGCCCGACUCCUACGGGAGGCAGCAGUAAGGAAUAUUGGUCAAUGGACGCAAGUCUGAACCAGCCAUGCCGCGUGAAGGAUGAAGGCCCUCUGGGUUGUAAACUUCUUUUAUCUGGGACGAAAAAAGGGGAUUCUUCCUCACUUGACGGUACCAGAGGAAUAAGCACCGGCUAACUCCGUGCCAGCAGCCGCGGUAAUACGGAGGGUGCAAGCGUUAUCCGGAUUUACUGGGUUUAAAGGGUGCGUAGGUGGGUAAGUAAGUCAGUGGUGAAAUCUUCGAGCUUAACUCGGAAACUGCCAUUGAUACUAUUUAUCUUGAAUACUUUGGAGGUAAGCGGAAUAUGUCAUGUAGCGGUGAAAUGCUUAGAUAUGACAUAGAACACCAAUUGCGAAGGCAGCUUACUACACAGUUAUUGACACUGAGGCACGAAGCGUGGGGAUCAAA
rnacentral:rRNA from 1 species